UACGUAGGUGGCAAGCGUUGUCCGGAUUUACUGGGCGUAAAGAGCGCGCAGGCGGUCGUGCAAGUCGCGUGUGAAAGCCCCCGGCUCAACUGGGGAGGGUCACGCGAUACUGCUCGACUCGAAGGCAGGAGAGGGAAGUGGAAUUCCCGGUGUAGCGGUGAAAUGCGUAGAGAUCGGGAGGAACACCAGAGGCGAAGGCGGCGACCUGGAUAGAUACUGACACUCAACUACGAAAGCGUGGGGAGCAAACAGG
rnacentral:rRNA from 1 species